AGGUUUGAACGCCAUCGUUCUCAUUUGCUCACACAUACAGAUUAACAGAAUAAAUGCUCCGCAGUUCAUCUCUAAGUGAGGUUUAGUCUUCAUUCACCUAUAACGGAGGGGAGGAGAGGAGGAAGGGGCUCUGCUGGCUACCUGCUGGGACGUCUUACAAGGUGCAGGAAACCUCCUGUUUCCAGCCCCGGUUCAUCCUUCUGAUGGGAAGUCCUACUGAGAAGCCACUGACCCUGAACAGAACAGAGAGCAGAGAAGCAAAGCCAGAAACGAGAGCGAGAUGGAGAGGAGGAAAAGGCUGAAACUGAAAAGGAGAGUGAGAUCACACUCAUGUGUGAUGAGCUGUUCAGUGGACUUUCCUCUCAGCGGGGUUCCCCUCUCCCUCGGCACUGAGCCGACACACGCCGCAGAGCGCUGACAGCAACACGCUGAUGUCUGUGUCACGGCUUUCCUCUUUCUGCUUCCUGCUUCAUCCUGACUGCAGCAGACCUCCUACAUGUUCCAGGUCUUUAUCAAUACAUGAUGUAUCUGAUGCCUGAUCACUUCCAUGUGGUGCAAUGGGAGGGUGGAGAAACGAUUCUGCGGUUAUCAAGAAACCAGCUGGCAACGUCAUAUAUUCAGAGCCAAGGGGUGACCAGUUUUAUCUGUGGAGUCUGUGCAGUCUAAGGCUGCGCUAAGACCCAUAUUAGCACCACAUCAGAAAAAAACACAACCUCUCCAUAGCACUCACAGGUACAGUAUGUGUGUGUGUAGAUGACCCUGGCCGAGAAAUAAACAACAAAGAUUUCAUCACAGCAGCUGCAACAACUGUGCCUCUUUUGGAAAUCCUCCAGCAUCCACUUUGUUCUUGUGCGAUCUGUAAAACGCUACCGAACACACAGAUCAUGUCACCUCCCGCGAUGUGUGUUUUUCUUGUAAAAGCUACACAACACAGUAGUGACUGUAAAUAGCUAAAGCUAUAAUUAACUGGCUACAUUUGGAUUGACUGUGGUUUUAAAAACAGCAGCAGCAGCAGCAGCAGAGAGUAUCUAAAGGGAAUUCAUCUGUAUCAAAAUCAGAAGAAUUACUGCUUUGGGGCUGAAAAUGAGAUUAGUCUAAGUGAGUUGAUGUAAAGGGCAUGUUUGUCUAUGAAUAACAUAUUGAACUACAUAUUAUGGUUUUAUGUGGGUUUACAUUGAUUUCAG